UACAGAGGGUGCGAGCGUUGUCCGGAAUCACUGGGCGUAAAGGGCGCGUAGGCGGCUUGAUAAGCGUGCGGUGAAAGCCCGGGGCUCAACCCCGGGUCGGCCGUGCGAACUGUCGAGCUGGAGCACUGUAGAGGCAGGUGGAAUUCCGGGUGUAGCGGUGGAAUGCGUAGAGAUCCGGAAGAACACCGGUGGCGAAGGCGGCCUGCUGGGCAGUGGCUGACGCUGGAGGAGCGAAAGCGUGGGGAGCGAAACAGG
rnacentral:rRNA from 1 species